rnacentral:tRNA from 1 species
UGGGUUGUGGCUAAGCAGUAGAGCGCUCGCCUAGCAUGUGCAAGGCCUUGGGUUCGAUUCCCAGCACCACAU